rnacentral:rRNA from 1 species
UAUACAGAAGAAAACCUUGACUACGUUGUAGAAGAAUUGACGGUACUGUAAGAAUAAGCACCGGCUAACUCCGUGCCAGCAGCCGCGGUAAUACGGAGGGUGCAAGCGUUAUCCGGAAUUAUUGGGUUUAAAGGGUCCGCAGGCGGAAAAUUAAGUCAGAGGUGAAAUCCUCCAGCUCAACUGUGGAACUGCCUUUGAAACUGGUAGUCUUGAGUAUUUUCGAGGUGAGCGGAAUGUGUCGUGUAGCGGUGAAAUGCAUAGAUAUGACAAAGAACACCAAUUGCGAAGGCACCUCACUAUCACAUGUACUGACUCUGAUGGACGAAAGCAUGGGAAGCGAACAGGAUUAGAUACCCUGGUAGUCCACGCCCUAAACGAUGGU